GUUUUACCUUGACGAAUUGUAGUUUAAAGAAGUGUUUUCUGUUGAAGUUUUGGUAAAAGUUCUUUGGAAUAGGACAUCAUAGAGGGUGAGAAUCCCGUAUUUGACCAUUAUUUUCAGCUGUGUGAUACACUUUCAAAGAGUCGGAUUGUUUGGGAAUGCAGUCCAAAAUGGGUGGUAAAUUUCAUCUAAAGCUAAAUAUUGGCGAGAGACCGAUAGCGAACAAGUACCGUGAGGGAAAGAUGAAAAGAACUUUGAAAAGAGAGUUAAACAGUACGUGAAAUUGUCAAAAGGGAAGCGUUUGACACCAGUGUUGUUUUCUCGAAAAACAAUUAAAAAAAGUUGGAUUUUGUGUUGUAUUGACCUUAACAGCUUUCUGCACUCUUUUCCUGCUUUUUUU
rnacentral:rRNA from 1 species